UGGGGGGGCGCGGCAGGGGGAACAUCUCUCCAAAGAGAGGAACAGCAGCGAGCUGCAGAGAUUUCUAGGUCUGUUCCUACCCAAGGAAGGUGAGGUGGGGGAGCCCUCAUUUUAAAAGGCCUCUUUUACAACUCCUGUUUCUUUUUAGAGGCAUAGUUUUGAGAGGUGCCCAGAGGACAGUCUGGAGUGUCCCAACCUUCUUCAGCAGUGUUGGGCAAAUGAAAGUGGGGUUUUGGAUACCAGCAUCCCGUGUGUGUCCGGCGCCGGUCCCUGCUGGCGUCACUGCGUGGCCCCUGCGUCGCUGGCUUCCUGUUACCUGGAUCUCAUCCACCCUGUUCUCUGUGAAGACAAAAUGUGCAUUGAACCAACAGCAUGUUUGGAGCGGUGUCUUAUAAGAUUUCAAAAGCCUCUGUCUGUGGCCACCAAACGGGCAUUCGUGGUGGGCAUUCGAACUCUCAGCUUGAACCUAACAUUACAGAGUUUGAGCAUCUAGAAAAUGAGGGGCUGGCCUACACCACCACCCUCCUUUGCCGGCUCCCUGCACCUGGCAUCGAUGGGCCCGGGCCCGGGGACC
rnacentral:lncRNA from 1 species